UACAGAGGGUGCGAGCGUUAAUCGGAAUUACUGGGCGUAAAGCGUGCGUAGACGGUAGCGUAAGUCAGAUGUGAAAGCCCCGGGCUCAACCUGGGAAUUGCAUUUGAGACUGCUCUGCUCGGGUGUCGGAAGAGGGAAGCGGAAUUUCCGGUGUAGCGGUGAAAUGCGUAGAUAUCGGAAGGAACACCAGUGGCGAAAGCGGCUUCCUGGUCCGACAC
rnacentral:rRNA from 1 species